rnacentral:misc_RNA from 1 species
AGCAGCCGCGGUAAUUCCAGCUCCAAUAGCGUAUAUUAAAGUUGUUGCAGUUAAAAAGCUCGUAGUUGAAUUUCGGGAUCAAUUAAUCGGUCGUGCCUCUGGUACGCACUGGUUUUAUUGGUUUCUCCCUUCUGACGAACCAGGAUGUCAUUAAUUUGGUGUCUUGGAGAGUCAGGACUGUUACUUUGAAAAAAUUAGAGUGUUUAAAGCAGGCUAACGCUUGAAUACAUUAGCAUGGAAUAAUGAAAUAGGACGUUUGAUCCUAUUUUGUUGGUUUCUAGGAUCGACAUAAUGAUUAAUAGGGAUAGUUGGGGGCAUUAGUAUUCAAUUGUCAGAGGUGAAAUUCUUGGAUUAUUGAAGACUAACUACUGCGAAAGCAUUUGCCAAGGAUGUUUUCAUUAAUCAAGAACGAAAGUUAGGGGAUCGAAGACGAUCAGAUACCGUCGUAGUCUUAACCAUAAACUAUGCCGACUAGGGAUCGGAUGAUGUUAAUUUUUUAAUGACUCAUUCGGCGCCUUAC